rnacentral:lncRNA from 1 species
CUUUUAUACAACUGGCAGCACAGUAGGUUUACACUAGCAUCACCAUAAACAUUUGAGUAAUCAUUAUACUAUGACGUUAUCACUAGGUGAGAGGAAUUUUUCAGCUCCAUAAUAUGCAAGAAUCAUUGUUGUAUAUGUGGUCUGUCUGUCAUUGAUUGAAAUGUCAUUAUAUGGCGCAUGACUCUGGCUGUUAAAAAUGAGACAGAGGCUGGGCCCAGUGGCUCACACCUGUAAUUCCAGCACUUUGAGGGGCUCAGUUGGGCAGAUGGCUUGAGCCCAGGAGUUCCAGAUCAACCAGGCAUGAUGGCAUGUGCCUGUAAGUCCCAGCUACUUGGGAGGCUGAGGAAGGAAGAUCGCAUGAGCCUGGGAGAUCAAGGUGGCAGUAAACCGUGAUGAUGCCACUGCACUCCAGCCUGGUCAACAGAGUGAAACCCUGUCUCAAGAAAAACCAACCAACCAACCAAACAAAAAAACCCCAGAAGACAGAUAUGUAGACAUAGGUAUGAAAAGAUUCUCAUGUUUUAUUAUUGAGUAAAAAAAACCCCAAGAUGCUGAAAAAUAAAUACGAUCCCAUUUUUGUUCAACAUUUUGCAUAUGUAGUUGUCAAUGCAUAGAAAAGAAUACAAAGAAAGCUGUCAGCAGUGGCUACUUUGGAGACUUGCAAUGGGCAUAGUAGGGAGGGGUAUACUUUUUAUAGGGUUCAUUUUCACACAAUAUUUUAUUUCCUAAUUAAGUAACAGACAUUCAGCUUUGGAAAAGGCAAUAGUAAAUGUUGUAUGAAAAUGUAAGAACAGAAUUGAUGGCUAUAGAAAAACUACUUUAUAUCUCAGUUUAAAUACUUUGGAUAUUGUUAAUGUUUCUAGGUCUAUGAAUUCUGGAUAGUAGAAAAAUAGCGUGAAACACCUUUUUCAAACUGGAAUGGCUAAGAAAGCCUAAGGGAAUGCUCUAAAAUAAACAGAAUAAUGAAAUAAAUGUUGGUAACUACAUCUCAACUCCUAUGUGGUAUUUCUAGAGCACUAUAGGGGAUUUCCUUUCAUAUUAUUCAGUCAGAGAUGUGUCAUUUUAUCAAUUCUAUUACAUUUUCUGUUUUAACUGUCAUGCCUUUGAACCUUUCCUGCUCUGAUUUCUGCUUUGCAUGGAAAUCUGUUAUCUUUCUAGUUGACUUUGGUGGAUAUCAAUCCUCUUGAGUCUCUCUAAGCCUUCAGACUAAAGUUUUUAAAGUUGUCUUUUGGCUGGGCGCAGUGGCUCACAUCUAUAAUCCCAACACUUUGGGAGGCCAGCACAGGUGGAUCACUUGAGCUCAGGAGUUUGAGACUACCCUGGGGAACAUGGCAAAACCUUGUCUCUACAAAACACACACAAAAAAAUUAGUCGGUUGUGCUGGCGGAUGCCUGUAGUCCCAUCUACUCGGGAGGCUGAGGUGGGAGGAUUGCUUGAACCCAGGAGGCAGAGGUUGCAGUAAGCCAAAAUUGCACCACUGCACUCCAGCCUGGGUGACAGAGCAAGGCUCCAUCUAAAAAAAAAAAAAAAAAAAAAAAAAAAGUUGCUGUUUCCUUCUUGCAUCAUCUACAUUUUCUCUGGAAUCAAUAAUUCAUUUUUCUAUUUUCAUUUUCAUUUUACUGAUCUUCCUCAUAUAUCUGGUGAUCUUUACGUGUAUGUUCAUGUUUAUAAAUGAAGGACUAAGUUGUUCAUGACAGGUGAUCAUCAUGGAUUUCUUGUACCUCUGUUGUAGUCGUGUCGUUUCUCCAGCAGGAUACCCCUCGGUGAACUGGCUUACUACCACCUUUGAUUAAGUGGAAAUGGCAUGCUGACAUACUUAAGGUCCAUGACAAGCAGCCAUAAAGGAGUCUUUGCCACAGCGCUGUAAGGCACUUGUAUAUGUGAGAAGCCCUUAGUAUAUUUAUAGAGGAUCUCCUACUAGAUUUAAAAAACAGUUAUUGUAGUCUUAAUACAGCUACAAACCUUGUACUGAGAUGUCUGUAUAGGAAGAAGGGGUUGCCUUUAGUCAUCAUGUCUUUUUAGUCUCUACCAAUCAAUGACAGUUUCUCAAUCUCUCCUUGUUUUCUCAUGACCUUGACACUCCUGAAGAAUACUGAUCAGUUAAUUUGUAGAAUGUCCCUCAAUUUGGUUUUGUCUGAAAUUCGCUCAUGUUUAGACUGAGAUUAUUCAUUUUUGCCAAGGUGAAAGGUUAAAAGGCAUAACAGCUAAUUUGUAGAAUGUCCCUCAAUUUGAUUUUGUCUGAAAUUCUCUCAUGUUUGGACUGAAAUUACUCAUUUUUGCCAAGGUGAUGUUAAGCCCAAGUUAUGUACAUAACAUGAUGUUAAGUACAUAACAUCAGGAGAUACCUGAUGUCAAG